rnacentral:rRNA from 1 species
UACGGAGGGUGCAAGCGUUAUCCGGAUUCACUGGGUUUAAAGGGUGCGUAGGCGGGCAGGUAAGUCCGUGGUGAAAUCUCUGAGCUUAACUCAGAAACUGCCAUGGAUACUAUUUGUCUUGAAUAUUGUGGAGGUAAGCGGAAUAUGUCAUGUAGCGGUGAAAUGCUUAGCUAUGACAUAGAACACCCAUUGCGAAGGCAGCUAACUACGCGAUUAUUGACGCUGAUGCACGAAAGCGUGGGGAUCAAACAGG